AACGAACGCUGGCGGCAUGCCUAACACAUGCAAGUCGAACGAACCCUUCGGGGUUAGUGGCGCACGGGUGCGUAACGCGUGGGAAUCUGCCCUUUGCUUCGGAAUAACUCAGGGAAACUUGUGCUAAUACCGGAUGAUGUCUUCGGACCAAAGAUUUAUCGGCAAGGGAUGAGCCCGCGUAGGAUUAGGUAGUUGGUGGGGUAAAGGCCUACCAAGCCGACGAUCCUUAGCUGGUCUGAGAGGAUGAUCAGCCACACUGGGACUGAGACACGGCCCAGACUCCUACGGGAGGCAGCAGUGGGGAAUAUUGGACAAUGGGCGCAAGCCUGAUCCAGCAAUGCCGCGUGAGUGAUGAAGGCCCUCGGGUCGUAAAGCUCUUUUACCAGGGAUGAUAAUGACAGUACCUGGAGAAUAAGCUCCGGCUAACUCCGUGCCAGCCGCCGCGGUAA
rnacentral:rRNA from 1 species